UAAAUCUUUGUUUUCAGGUAGGUUGAAUUGAAAGCAAAGCAAGUUCUAGACUCCCUGCUUGCUGGCGCUUUUUGAGUGAGUUGUGGCAGUUUGAUGGCAUCCUCGGCAAUAAAAUCUGGGGCAUUGGUUACUUUACCAGGUUAAACCCAUCU